rnacentral:lncRNA from 1 species
GUUCUAAAGUGAUUAAGAAUUAGUUGGACAACAUGGAGAUUUUAAAAGGAGCUCAAACAGCUGUAAACUUUGCUUCUUAUUAUCCUCUUCUUCACAAGGCUACAGCCGACAAUGAUACUCCAUGUCCGGGAUAUGUCUAUGAUGAAAUUAUAAAGCUUAGUUAU